UAUUGCCUGCUUUUAGCCAGCACCGGGACCUCUGUCUGGCUGACAGUCGCGUUCACCUGUGACAGAUUUGUGGCCAUUUGUUGUGCAAAGCUGAAAAUAAAAUAUUGCACGGAAAGAACAGCGGCUGUGGUUAUCGGAACAAUGGAUCUCUUUCGCCAAUCAAGUCCGAAUGGGGCUCCGGGGCCGGAACAACGGAAAGAAUGACAAGGAUCCAGAGACGGAGAGCCGAAGGAAAUCGGUCGUUUUACUCUCCGUCUCACUGAUACACCGCCCUGCAGCCGAUCAGCGUUAUAUAACACCGGUAUAACUCAUGCAGUUUGAGUGGUUUGACGACUACAACAAAACUGUCCGGCAAGAUUAUAUGACAAGACCACCGCAUUCCAGAGAUGGCAAUGACCUGGGCUUAAUUCGGUUGUGUGAAUGCACCCCAUAUCCUCCUGAUGCUGACUGCUGUCUGAGUACAAUCACAAACAAGACUAACCUGCAAAUGCUGGAAAUCAAGGUACUACCCACAAGAUCCUGGAGGAACUCAGCAGGCCAUGCAGCAUCUAUGUAAAAGAGACGUUUCGGGCCUCGACCCUUCAACAAAGUGAUCCAGCACAAUAGGAUUGGACUUUUCUACCGUGAUUGCAGUGUCAGCGACAGAUCUUAGACAACCUGGCAUGCCUCUUACAAAUGGUGUAAUUGUGCAGAAUAAUAAGGAAUGGGUGGGCUGAGGCCCCCAUGUCGUCGUGUUAAAAUGCCGCUAGCAAACCCUUGUUGUACAUUCACAAAUAAUUGGAAAUGAGCUGGAUUGUCAGAUAUGUCCAGAGCAGAGGAAGUUGACAACGCGGUGUUAAGAGUAUUAAAGGCUGCGUUCUUUUCCUGAGUCUGUUGCAUUUCGGCAGACAUGCUCAGUAAUGCGGCUUGUCGAAGAGGAGCCUCCAUCAGUUGAUAUUCAGGAAUCCAAUGUCUACAAUAAUUGAAAAUUCCCAAAACGGGAAG